AUGUUGAGUGUCAAGAAAAUGUGUUUGGUUGUAAUUUAUUCCUUUUUAUAUACUUAUAUCAAGCAAAAGGCUUUAAAAUUUUGUUUUUGUUUCCUGAAUAUUAACCGGACAACAACCCUUUUCAUUUUGAUGCUCUGCUUUGUUUCAAAACCAAAGAAACACAUUUGCUUAAAAUUAAAAUGCUUUAGAAAAUGA